AUUGAACGCUGGCGGCAGGCUUAACACAUGCAAGUCGAACGAGUGGCGGACGGGUGAGUAAUGCUUGGGAAUCUAGCUUAUGGAGGGGGAUAACUACGGGAAACUGUAGCUAAUACCGCGUACCAUAGGAAGAGCCCAAGUGGGAUUAGGUAUUUGGUGAGGUAAAGGCUCACCAAGCCGACGAGCUCUAGAUGGUCUGAGGGGAUGACCAGCCACACUGGGACUGAGACACGGCCCAGACUCCUACGGGAGGCAGCAGUGGGGAAUAUUGCGCAAUGGGGGCAACCUGACGCAGCCAUGCCGCGUGAAUGAAGAAGGCCUUCGGGUUGUAAAGUUCUUUCGGUCGCGAGGCGUUACCUACAGAAGAAGCACCGGCUAACUCCGUGCCAGCCGCCGCGGUAAUUC
rnacentral:rRNA from 1 species